GUAAUGUCAAGGAUGGAGGAAGCCAUGUAGCGAGACUCUCGAGCCUACGGACAGAAACUUGGUAUAAGGCUAAAUGGGAAAGGAUAAGACUGCAUGACAAGUCGAAGUCCGAAUGGUAAACGUAUCCCCAAGACAGUAAACCAAGAGGUUGUGGAGUCAGAAGGUUAG
rnacentral:ncRNA from 1 species